ACGAUGGAUAGGGGUUCUGAGAGGAAGGUCCCCCACAUUGGAACUGAGACACGGUCCAAACUCCUACGGGAGGCAGCAGUGAGGAAUAUUGGUCAAUGGGCGCUAGCCUGAACCAGCCAAGUAGCGUGAAGGAUGAAGGCUCUAUGGGUCGUAAACUUCUUUUAUAUAAGAAUAAAGUGCAGUAUGUAUACUGUUUUGUAUGUAUUAUAUGAAUAAGGAUCGGCUAACUCCGUGCCAGCAGCCGCGGUAAUACGGAGGAUCCGAGCGUUAUCCGGAUUUAUUGGGUUUAAAGGGAGCGUAGGUGGACUGGUAAGUCAGUUGUGAAAGUUUGCGGCUCAACCGUAAAAUUGCAGUUGAUACUGUCAGUCUUGAGUACAGUAGAGGUGGGCGGAAUUCGUGGUGUAGCGGUGAAAUGCUUAGAUAUCACGAAGAACUCCGAUUGCGAAGGCAGCUCACUGGACUGCAACUGACACUGAUGCUCGAAAGUGUGGGUAUCAAACAGGAUUAGAUACCCUGGUAGUCCACACAGUAAACGAUGAAUACUCGCUGUUUGCGAUAUACAGUAAGCGGCCAAGCGAAAGCAUUAAGUAUUCCACCUGGGGAGUACGCCGGCAACGGUGAAACUCAAAGGAAUUGACGGGGGCCCGCACAAGCGGAGGAACAUGUGGUUUAAUUCGAUGAUACGCGAGGAACCUUACCCGGGCUUAAAUUGCAGUGGAAUGAUGUGGAAACAUGUCAGUGAGCAAUCACCGCUGUGAAGGUGCUGCAUGGUUGUCGUCAGCUCGUGCCGUGAGGUGUCGGCUUAAGUGCCAUAACGAGCGCAACCCUUGUUGUCAGUUACUAACAGGUGAUGCUGAGGACUCUGACAAGACUGCCAUCGUAAGAUGUGAGGAAGGUGGGGAUGACGUCAAAUCAGCACGGCCCUUACGUCCGGGGCUACACACGUGUUACAAUGGGGGGUACAGAAGGCAGCUACACGGCGACGUGAUGCUAAUCCCAAAAACCUCUCUCAGUUCGGAUCGAAGUCUGCAACCCGACUUCGUGAAGCUGGAUUCGCUAGUAAUCGCGCAUCAGCCAUGGCGCGGUGAAUACGUUCCCGGGCCUUGUACACACCGCCCGUCAAGCCAUGGGAGCCGGGGGUACCUGAAGUACGUAACCGCAAGGAUCGUCCUAGGGUAAAACUGGUGACUGGGGCUAAGUCGUAACAAG
rnacentral:rRNA from 1 species